rnacentral:rRNA from 1 species
AAGGUUUGACAUCACCCGGAAAGCUUCAGAGAUGGGGCCCUCUUCGGACUGGGUGACAGGUGGUGCAUGGCUGUCGUCAGCUCGUGUCGUGAGAUGUUGGGUUAAGUCCCGCAACGAGCGCAACCCUUGCUCCAUGUUGCCAGCACGCCCUUCGGGGUGGUGGGGACUCAUGGGGGACUGCCGGGGUCAACUCGGAGGAAGGUGGGGAUGACGUCAAGUCAUCAUGCCCCUUAUGUCUUGGGCUGCAAACAUGCUACAAUGGCCGGUACARAGGGCUGCGAAACCGUGAGGUGGAGCGAAUCCCUAAAAGCCGGUCUCAGUUCGGAUUGGGGUCUGCAACUCGACCCCAUGAAGUCGGAGUCGCUAGUAAUCGCAGAUCAGCAACGCUGCGGUGAAUA